rnacentral:lncRNA from 1 species
AUCAUCAUAUCCUUUGUGUGUCCUUUGUGCCUCUUUUAUAUCUACAAAUCCCUAAAGAAAAUCUGAAACCAGUAUCAUCCUUCGCGUAAACUUUGAGCCUAUCAAGUUAGAACGCUGACGGUUGUGUCUUGUUUCAAAACAAAAAGUGUGUGUAAGUGUUAUAUCUGCUCUUGUUCUUAGUUAUAAAAAAAACAAAGUAUCAAAAAAAAGGGAAUGUGAAAAAAAAAGAGUUGAGGAAGAAAAGUUGUGAAGAAAGAGUAGAAAGUUCACUCUGUUAUGUGCUCAAGUUCUGAAUUUUAUAUCAAGUCGCACAAUCAGUCCUUAUCCAUCUUUGGUGCAAAAUUUUGCUUGGGUUUGAUUGCAACACUUGCAUCCUAGGCAUACUCCUUGUUUGCAUCAAAUCUGAAUUAUCUUGGCGCGUGUGUUUGAUCUAUUUACAUCACUCAUAUCUUGUGGUCAGCACUAGGCAUUGAACUUCUAGUUUGGAUUGUGGUUUAACUUUACAAUAUCAAGAAUUCAGAUUGCAUUCCUUGAGAAAUAUAUCCCCACCAAGCUCCACAAAUAACCCACCGUCAUAGGAAAAUACUGAUCUUGGAUUCUCCCAACCAUCAUUCUCGGUUACCACCUCGCAUUGGCCGUUGUAAUCUGCGGGGAACUCACAUGAGCUUCGGUUGGUAAGAGAGGUGAGAUUGUGAGAUUCCACAUAUAAUUCCCUAUUCUAUAUAUAUUGUUGCUUUGCCUUCACUAAUUUUUUACAGCAA